GGUGGUAUCACCCCCACGGAGAACAGGAGGAAGCUGGGCCCCGGGUCCAGAAACGUGGCCACGUCCCCUGCCUGGGAAGGACUGUCUGGGGAGGGGCCUCUGUGUGCUUCCAGCCUCUUUCCUGCAUCCAGGUUGAGCUGACUGGUCGGGAGGACACAGGGUGUCCUGUCCCAGGAGGAAGUGAAGCAAGCACGUGGUGUUUCUGUAGCACAGCUGUCCUGGGUCCGGGCCAGUGUACCUGCCUUCCCGGAGCCCAGGUCACGUGGCUGUCUGUCGCCACCUGCUGUCCUGUCCCAUGUGGGGAGAGACUGGCAGGGGUCUGUGCCACACUCACGUGCCCACCACCCAGGACCCGAGUCCCUCCCAGCAGGGCCUCUGGUGUGGUUUCUAGUUUCUCUGCAGGCCCUGGCACUGGGUGGUUUUAAGCUGCUGCUCCCAUGUCUCAAAGGUACCUUGCAAUUCACAGAGCCGCCUUCACACCAGCUGCACACAGCCUCCUGUUGGCUUGUUCCUGGGGCUUAAACCUAACUGAGCAGUGUUGUUCUAAGUUGCAGAGGUCCUGUUUCCCUGUAUCUGGAAAAGCCUGCUCAUAGUGAAGCAGGACUGACCCUGACUCCAGGCUCCUCGCCCAGCCUUGGCCUUGCUCCAGAGCUCAGUGGUGGGUACUGCUGCGGGGAGUGGGGUGUGGUAUGGGGUAAGCAUCCAGCUCUCCUCUUCUAGAUCAAAGACCUGGACAGCAACCUUUACCCCAUUGGCCAGAGCAACAUCAGCAAGUCAGGCAGAGGGUGUGUGCGGUUUAUUGAAGAGAUGCACAGCUGGUGACUGCAUCUGCAGAGCUGAGAACAACUGGAUCUUGUUCACACUCAGGCAGAGGAAGACUCCUGGGGUGAAGCCACACCUCCUUCUAGCCUGACGCAGACAAGGAGCUGAAAGGAGAUCUCUGAGAUCCUGCUACUGCCAUGAACCCAAAAGACCUCCGGGACUGCUCAGUUAGGGUAAAAGCUUUUUUGAGGAUAUCAUUGAGUAUAUCUAGAAGAGAGUAAGCAACGAAGAGCUGCAAGACCUGCUCACUGAAGUCAAAACCCAGGAGAAUUUUGUGAUUGAGGCCCGUUUGUCCAGCAUCAAGUAAGUUGGGGAGCUGUCAUAGGAUGCGAUUUCUGGAAAGCUCUGGGUAUGUGUACUGUGUAUUUUGCUUAUCUGUGCAAUGUCUGCAGUGCUCAAUUUGUGCCUCUCUUCAUAUUGUCAUAGUCUUUCUUUUCUGUUAGUUGCCAGUAAGUUAAUUC
ensembl:lncRNA